CCUGGCAGUUGGUGAUAAGUAAGAAAUUAAUAAAUUAAUAAGCUCUUUAAUUUCAUGUUAAGUUAUCCCUGAACCUCAAGCGGUUGUGCUUGGUGGUCAUACAAUGUUCUUUUUGCUACAAGACCAUUGAAGGAGGCAGGGGAAGAGUAAGAUUGAUGAAUGUCACAUUUCAGAGCCACACCAAGCCUUAGAAGAAUUGCCACUUUUGCAGUCAAAUCCAAGUAACAUCUGCUCUAUGCAACCAGUCAAUAUUGUGGAAAAGUUCAAAGAAUGAAGAUCAUUAGUAGUGUCAGCUUUACAACCAGAAGACCUCUAGGAGAAGCCUUUGGGGUAGCUGGAUCACCUCCGAGAAAUUAAGUUUCCAAGCUGUCUGGUAUCUUCUCCUGCAAAGUGCUUUUCAUUAGAAGUUUACAGCAAGAGACAGUAACUAUCUGUUCAUCACUAAUAACAUGAAGAAAUCCUGUGUUUAUGGAUCUUAUACGAAGAUUUAACUGAACUGUUGCAAUAAAUCUUUUGAAACCUUGAAAUCCCGAAAUAUUCCCAAUCUGUGUGUUGUCAUUGUAUAAGUCUCUCUGGUUUUCUAGAUAGAGAAAUGAAAGUAAAGCCUUUUUCUCCAA